CAGAGGGUGCAAGCGUUGUCCGGAAUCACUGGGCGUAAAGGGCGCGUAGGCGGCCCGAUAAGUAGGGGGUGAAAUCUUGCGGCUCAACCGCAAGGCUGCCUUCUAGACUGUCGGGCUUGAGCACAGUAGAGGCAGGUGGAAUUCCCGGUGUAGCGGUGGAAUGCGUAGAGAUCGGGAAGAACAUCGGUGGCGAAGGCGGCCUGCUGGGCUGUUGCUGACGCUGAGGCGCGACAGCGUGGGGAGCAAACAGGAUUAGAUACCCUGGUAGUCCACGCCGUAAACGAUGGGCACUAGGCGUCGGGGGGAGCGACCCUCCCGGUGCCGUCGCUAACGCAGUAAGUGCCCCGCCUGGGGAGUACGGCCGCAAGGCUG
rnacentral:rRNA from 1 species